AUACGGAAGGUCCGGGCGUUAUCCGGAUUUAUUGGGUUUAAAGGGAGCGCAGGCGAAGAUGCAAGCGUGACGUCAAAUUUCGGGGCUCAACCCCGUCUCGCGUCGCGAACUGCGUCCCUUGGUUGCGGGAAGGGGAGGCGGAACUCGUGGUGUAGCGGUGAAAUGCAUAGAUAUCACGAAGAACUCCGAUCGCGAAGGCAGCCUUCCGGCCCGUCAACGACGCUCAUGCUCGAAGGUGCGGGUAUCAAACAGGAUUAGAUACCCUGGUAGUCCGCACAGUAAACGAUGGACACCCGCGGUUUGGCCUAUAUGGCUGAGCCGCCAAGCGAAAGCGUUAAGUGUCCCACCUGGGGAGUACGCCGGCAACGGUGAAACUCAAAUGAAUUGACGGGG
rnacentral:rRNA from 1 species